UUUCUUUCUUUCUUUCUUUAUCCCCUCUCAGAUUUCCUUCACUUUUCUUUCCUCUCCUCGGAGCCUCACCUUUCUCUCUUUUUCCCAUUUUCCCCUCACUCUCCUUUCAACAUGUCCUUCUUGUUGGUUGUUUCAUGUUUCCCCAGUCCAGUAUCACAACCGACCACCGCCAAAAUAUAAUUUUAUUGGAAUAUUGAUUUGUGGUCUUAAGUUUUGGUACGCUAAUGUUGAAUAUUGAAAUUGAAACAUUGAUUUGUGGUUCUAGGUUUUGGUUUUGAAACUGAAAUUGAAACAUUGAUUUUAUGGUUUUAUGUGGCUUAGGUCAUAGUUUCUUUUCGGCAGGCAUAGUCAAGUAGAGAUAAGACAAUAGAAUAUAGGAC
rnacentral:lncRNA from 1 species